GAUCCUGGCUCAGGAUGAACGCUAGCUACAGGCUUAACACAUGCAAGUCGAGGGGCAGCACAGUGUAGCAAUACACGGGUGGCGACCGGCGCACGGGUGCGUAACGCGUAUCCAACCUUCCCCUUACUCAGGAAUAGCCCGUUGAAAGACGGAUUAAUGCCUGAUGUUCUCUUUUUUCCGGCAUCGGUAAUAGAGCAAAGAUUCAUCGGUAAGGGAUGGGGAUGCGUAUGAUUAGCUUGUUGGCGGGGUAACGGCCCACCAAGGCAACGAUCAUUAGGGGUUCUGAGAGGAAGGUCCCCCACACUGGAACUGAGACACGGUCCAGACUCCUACGGGAGGCAGCAGUGAGGAAUAUUGGUCAAUGGAGGCAACUCUGAACCAGCCAAGUAGCGUGCAGGAUGACGGCCCUAUGGGUUGUAAACUGCUUUUAUGCGGGGAUAAAUGAGCCUACGUGUAGAUUUUUGCAGGUACCGCAUGAAUAAGGACCGGCUAAUUCCGUG
rnacentral:rRNA from 1 species